rnacentral:rRNA from 1 species
CCAAGUGGGUGCCAGCGGCGGCGUGAAGACGUAGGGGGGGAGCGGGGGCCGGAUUGAUUGGGCGUAAAGCGCGGGGAGGCGGUUUGGUAGGCCGGGUGUGAAACCCUCGAGCUGAACUCGGGGCGGCCACUCGGAACUGUCAUGACUCGAGUCAGGUAGGGGAACACGGAAUUCCAGGUGUAGCGGUGAAAUGCUUAGAUAUCUGGAGGAACACCAGUGGCGAAGGCGGUGUUCUGGGCCUGUACUGACGCUGAUGCGCGAAAGCGUGGGGAGCGAACAGGAUUAGAUACCCUGGUAGUC